UUCUGAGCGUCUUUCUGCUUUGGUGAGAGUUUCCUGGCUUCUAGUAAAUCGCUGGAUCCUACUGUGAACCAGUUGUUGCUGCAUCUAGGUAUCUGCAAGCCAGAGCGAGUGAUUGAUUCGCCUGGCUGAGGUAGCCUAAUAGUAAAGUGAGGGUGUGUCUUCACCAAUCAAGAUGAGGUGGCACGCGUGGUGGACAGAGUAGAGCCCAGGAUUGUACAUGACUGCAAAAAGGCAGAAGAAUGGGUUAAAGCAAACCAGCAUGUCUUUUCAGCCAAGGUGGAGUUGCCCGAUGCACUGAAUUUGGGGGAAGAGGAACUGGCAGAGGCUGCACAGCUGUAUGGAAAGGUUUGGGUUGAGGAAACGAGUGAGGGCCUGGACGAACAUGAGAGGGAAUCGAUCUUAGAGCCAUUCAAGUUUGUAUUUUACGACAUUGAAGACGUGGAAGUUUUGUGAAGAAAUGACAGAUAGCCAAGGGUAUUUGGCGUACUGUGAAUGCUGAAUGGAAAACAACUUAUGACUUUGAAUACAAGUAGUAGCACACUACUAUUGUUGUGAUAUGCUGUGUUUGCUGAAUA